GUUAGGAAUAUUGGACAAUGGGCGCAAGCCUGAUCCAGCCAGGCCGCGUGAGUGAUGAAGGCCUUCGGGUUGUAAAGCUCUUUAGCCGAUGAUUAUAAUGACUGUAGUCGGAAAAUAAGCCCCGGCUAACUUCGUGCCAGCAGCCGCGGUAAUACGAAGGGGGCGAGCGUUAUUCGGAAUCACUGGGCGUAAAGCGUGCGUAGGCGGCUUUGCAAGUUGGGAGUGAAAGCCCAGGGCUCAACCCUGGAAUUGCUCUCAAAACUGCAAGGCUCGAAUUCGGGAGAGGAUAGCGGAAUUGUCAGUGUAGCAGUGAAAUGCGUAGAUAUUGACAGGAACACCAGUGGCGUAAGCGGCUAUCUGGACCGAUAUUGACGCUGAGGCACGAAAGCGUGGGGAUCAAACAGGAUUAGAAACCCGAGUAGUCC
rnacentral:rRNA from 1 species